CGUAGGGUGCAAGCGUUAAUCGGAAUUACUGGGCGUAAAGCGUGCGCAGGCGGUUAUAUAAGACAGAUGUGAAAUCCCCGGGCUCAACCUGGGAACUGCAUUUGUGACUGUAUAGCUAGAGUACGGUAGAGGGGGAUGGAAUUCCGCGUGUAGCAGUGAAAUGCGUAGAUAUGCGGAGGAACACCGAUGGCGAAGGCAAUCCCCUGGACCUGUACUGACGCUCAUGCACGAAAAGCGUGGGGGAGCAAACAGGAUUAGAUACCCUGGUAGUCCACGCCCUAAACGAUGUCAACUGGUUGUUGGGUCUUCACUGACUCAGUAACGAAGCUAACGCGUGAAGUUGACCGCCUGGGGGAGUACGGCCGCAAGGUUG
rnacentral:rRNA from 1 species